UCCAGGCUGGAGUGCAGUGGCAUGAUCAUGGCUCACUGCAGCAUUGACCUGGGCUCAAGCCAUCUUCCCAUCUCAGCCUCCUGAGUAACCGGGACUACAGAUGCACGCCACUGCACCCAGCUAAUUUUUAGUUAUUUGUAGAGACAGGGGUCUCCCUACGUGGCCCAGGCUGGUCUUGAACUUCUGGGCUCAAGUGGUCCUCCCACCUUAGCCUCCCAAAGUGUUGGGAUUACAGAUGUGAGCCAUUGCACUUGGCCCUAUAUAUAUUUUUUUAAAGAGAGACAGGGUCUCACCACGUUGUCCAGGCUGGCCUCAAACUCCUGGGCUCAAGCAAUCCUCCCAUCUCAGCCUCCCAAUGUGCUGGGAUUACAAGGCCACUGCGCUUGGCCUAAAUUUGAAUUUCAGAUAAACAGGAAUAAUUUACUUAGUGUAUGUCCCCCAAAUUGCAUCCUGUUUAUUAGCUAAAUCUGGCAACCCUAAACCCAAGCCAUACCCAGUGCUCUAAAUGCAGGUCUGUCCCUUGGCCCAGUGUUUCUGUAAAAAGCCUUCGGAGGUGGCCGUGGUGCACAGGCGUGUGCCUGUGGUCCCAGCUACUCGGAGGCUGAGGUGGGAGGAUUGCCGGAACCGGGGAAGUGGAAGCAGCAGUGAGCAGAGAUUGUGCCACUGUGCUGCAUCCUGGGUGACAGAGUGAGACCCUGUCUCAAAAAGAAAAAAGCCUCAGGAGAGCCGGACUUUCCUGUCAUAGGUGCUUUGCUCUUUCUCCUCGGGUGCUUGAAAAACAUUUUGUUUUGAGGCUUAACUUCAGCGAAUUGUGUCUGAUGCCUGUUGUUCAUGCCCUUUGUUUUCUGGGAUUUUUCCCCCUUUUGUCUUAAGAUUCAUUUCAGGAUUUCCUGGGUUUUAUCUUGAGUGUUUGCUCUUUGCUUGCAUUGUCAGUCUCUGCAUCCUAGACGCACGUUAUUCUUAUGACUGUAUUAUCUCUGUCCACUGCCACUCGGGGUCCC
rnacentral:lncRNA from 1 species